ACCUCAGCAGCAGCGAUUUUACCCUGGUUUCUGCAGCACUGGUAACAGCCAGAGAACCAUCAGCCCCCACACACCAAUCCCUGCUGAAUCCCACAGGAAUGUAUGGAGAAGUAGUUCUCAGAGGGGAGCAAUCACUGAGAGAAGAGUUUGCAGUUCCCAGACUCCAUCAGCAUCUGAUUUACUCAUCAUUUAUUGAUGGCUUUGCUACAGUGAGGUAGGUUUAAUAACAUUUGAAGGUAAGAAAACGCUCAGGGUUGUGCUCUGGCCCUAGGAAACUUCAUCACCCACGUGUGGAGCUCAGCAGGAGAUGAAAUGAGAUGAUUCUGCAGCAGCUGAGCACCACAAACAGAUCCUGAUUGCCAUUGAUCCCAUCCCUGCCCUUUCCACUCUUUAUUGAUCAAGUCUCAUAUUCACUUCUCCACUGUUUCACUUGGAGCUGAUGCCAAAUGGAGCCGCCUCGAAUUUCUCUGCAGACCCAUUUUAAAUGUAAGCACAAGUCAGAGACUUGUUCCUGUUUGUUUCUAUCCUGGUUCUGCUGAGCUGGGGUCAUGGAAUCAUGGAAUCCCAGAGCGGUUCAGGCUCCAACCCCCUGCCAUGGAGCCAAGAGGGGACGAAGGAGCCAGGAGGCAACGAGGGCUCUGCUGGACCCGAUGGUUUCCCGAGGAGGAAGGAGGAACCUCAGCCCCAGCUGCUGGGGUCACAACUGUCCCGCUACCGAAUCCCAGUGGGAACAUCAGCCCGGUGCCUUGUGCAGUUUUAAAUGCUCAGUGCAUUAACCAUUAACAGCAUUAACACGUCCUGCCCGGGUGCAA